CAGUAGCCGCGGUAAUACGGAGGGUGCAAGCGUUAAUCGGAAUUACUGGGCGUAAAGCGUGCGUAGGCGGUUUGUUAAGUCUGCUGUGAAAUCCCCGGGCUCAACCUGGGAAUGGCAGUGGAUACUGGCAAGCUAGAGUGUGUCAGAGGAUGGUGGAAUUCCCGGUGUAGCGGUGAAAUGCGUAGAGAUCUGGAGGAAUACCGGUGGCGAAGGCGGCCCCCUGGACAAAGACUGACGCUCAGGUGCGAAAGCGUGGGGAGCAAACAGGAUUAGAUACCCCAGUAGUCCCUGUCUCUUAUAU
rnacentral:rRNA from 1 species